rnacentral:misc_RNA from 1 species
GAGUGGCCUUGCUGCCACGAUCCACCGAGAUUCAGCCCUUUGUCGCUAAGAUUCGACCCUCCCUAAAUCACUCCAAAAAAAACAAUCCCCAAUUCUACACAAGUGUUUCUACACUAACAAAGCAACAGCUCCUUAACGAAUUCCCAACUUUACACGAGCUCGUCUCUCGAGGUUAAAUGUUAUUACUUGGUAAGAUUCCGGACCUCGCCAAGUGUUUUGAAAACCCGCAACGCUACGCAAAGGUGCAUAGUGAGAAGAAUAAGUGAAGAGACAGACUUGUCCAAAACGCUCACGAAGGUGCAUAGUGAGAAGAGUAAGUCAAGAGACAGACUUGUCCAAAAAGAAACAAAAGAGAAUGCUUGGGGUUACACUCACGAAGGUGCAUAGUGAGAAGAGUAAGUCAAGAGCAGACUUGUUCAAAAAGAACCAGAAGAGAAUGCUUGGGGAGAUAGAAGUGUGAGAUAGUUCUCAAGCUAAGAAAGUUGUAAAAGCUAAGAACUAGCAUCAAAUGAUGGAUGAAACACAAGGUAGUUGUUGAAAAGUCAAACACUUGGUGAUAUGAACACAAACGUUCAAUAUGACAAACCCAUGCCAAGUAAAGAGAAAAUGAAAACUGGUGAUUGUUGCGGAAAUCGUCCAGGAUUCCUCGACCAGGACUUGAAAUCGUCGAGGGAAAAUAAUCGGUUCCGAGGAAUCGUCGAUCCGGACUUGGAAUCGUCGAGAAAGUUUACCGGGUCCGAGGAAUCGUCGAU